ACUGUUUCGGCAAGGGGGUCAUCCCGACUUACCAACCCGAUGCAAACUGCGAAUACCGGAGAAUGUUAUUACGGGAGACACACGGCGGGUGCUAACGUCCGUCGUGAAGAGGGAAACAACCCAGACCGCCAGCUAAGGUCCCAAAGUCAUGGUUAAGUGGGAAACGAUGUGGGAAGGCCCAGACAGCCAGGAUGUUGGCUUAGAAGCAGCCAUCAUUUAAAGAAAGCGUAAUAGCUCACUGGUCGAGUCGGCCUGCGCGGAAGAUGUAACGGGGCUAAACCAUGCACCGAAGCUGCGGCAGCGACGCUUAUGCGUUGUUGGGUAGGGGAGCGUUCUGUAAGCCUGUGAAGGUGUGCUGUGAGGUAUGCUGGAGGUAUCAGAAGUGCGAAUGCUGACAUAAGUAACGAUAAAGCGGGUGAAAAGCCCGCUCGCCGGAAGACCAAGGGUUCCUGUCCAACGUUAAUCGGGGCAGGGUGAGUCGACCCCUAAGGCGAGGCCGAAAGGCGUAGUCGAUGGGAAACAGGUUAAUAUUCCUGUACUUGGUGUUACUGCGAAGGGGGGACGGAGAAGGCUAUGUUGGCCGGGCGACGGUUGUCCCGGUUUAAGCGUGUAGGCUGGUUUUCCAGGCAAAUCCGGAAAAUCAAGGCCGAGGCGUGAUGACGAGGCACUACGGUGCUGAAGCAACAAAUGCCCUGCUUCCAGGAAAAGCCUCUAAGCAUCAGGUAACAUCAAAUCGUACCCCAAACCGACACAGGUGGUCAGGUAGAGAAUACCAAGGCGCUUGAGAGAACUCGGGUGAAGGAACUAGGCAAAAUGGUGCCGUAACUUCGGGAGAAGGCACGCUGAUACGUAGGUGAAGCGACUUGCUCGUGGAGCUGAAAUCAGUCGAAGAUACCAGCUGGCUGCAACUGUUUAUUAAAAACACAGCACUGUGCAAACACGAAAGUGGACGUAUACGGUGUGACGCCUGCCCGGUGCCGGAAGGUUAAUUGAUGGGGUUAGCGCAAGCGAAGCUCUUGAUCGAAGCCCCGGUAAACGGCGGCCGUAACUAUAACGGUCCUAAGGUAGCGAAAUUCCUUGUCGGGUAAGUUCCGACCUGCACGAAUGGCGUAAUGAUGGCCAGGCUGUCUCCACCCGAGACUCAGUGAAAUUGAACUCGCUGUGAAGAUGCAGUGUACCCGCGGCAAGACGGAAAGACCCCGUGAACCUUUACUAUAGCUUGACACUGAACAUUGAGCCUUGAUGUGUAGGAUAGGUGGGAGGCUUUGAAGUGUGGACGCCAGUCUGCAUGGAGCCGACCUUGAAAUACCACCCUUUAAUGUUUGAUGUUCUAACGUGGACCCGUGAUCCGGGUUGCGGACAGUGUCUGGUGGGUAGUUUGACUGGGGCGGUCUCCUCCUAAAGAGUAACGGAGGAGCACGAAGGUUGGCUAAUCCUGGUCGGACAUCAGGAGGUUAGUGCAAUGGCAUAAGCCAGCUUGACUGCGAGCGUGACGGCGCGAGCAGGUGCGAAAGCAGGUCAUAGUGAUCCGGUGGUUCUGAAUGGAAGGGCCAUCGCUCAACGGAUAAAAGGUACUCCGGGGAUAACAGGCUGAUACCGCCCAAGAGUUCAUAUCGACGGCGGUGUUUGGCACCUCGAUGUCGGCUCAUCACAUCCUGGGGCUGAAGUAGGUCCCAAGGGUAUGGCUGUUCGCCAUUUAAAGUGGUACGCGAGCUGGGUUUAGAACGUCGUGAGACAGUUCGGUCCCUAUCUGCCGUGGGCGCUGGAGAACUGAGGGGGGCUGCUCCUAGUACGAGAGGACCGGAGUGGACGCAUCACUGGUGUUCGGGUUGUCAUGCCAAUGGCACUGCCCGGUAGCUAAAUGCGGAAGAGAUAAGUGCUGAAAGCAUCUAAGCACGAAACUUGCCCCGAGAUGAGUUCUCCCUGACCCUUUAAGGGUCCUGAAGGAACGUUGAAGACGACGACGUUGAUAGGCCGGGUGUGUAAGCGCAGCGAUGCGUUGAGCUAACCGGUACUAAUGAACCGUGAGGCUUAACCUU
rnacentral:rRNA from 2 species